UCGAGGAUCUUCCGCAAUGGGCGCAAGCCUGACGGAGCGACGCCGCGUGUGGGAUGAAGGCCUUCGGGUUGUAAACCACUGUCACCGGUUAUGAAAGGAUCUGGUGUUAAUAGCGCCAGGGACUGACAAAGGCCGGAGAGGAAGCCACGGCUAACUUCGUGCCAGCAGCCGCGGUAAGACGAAGGUGGCGAGCGUUGUUCGGAAUCACUGGGCAUAAAGCGCACGUAGGCGGCGGCGUAAGUUGGAUGUGAAAUCCCUCGGCCUAACCGAGGAACUGCGUCCAGUACUGCGUUGCUUGAGGAUCAAAGGGGUGCAUGGAAUUCCCGGUGGAGCGGUGAAAUGCGUUGAUAUCGGGAGGAACUCCGGCGGCGAAAGCGGUGCACUGGUUGAUUUCUGACGCUGAGGUGCGAAAGCCAGGGGAGCAAACGGGAUUAGAUACCCGUGUAGUCC
rnacentral:rRNA from 1 species